GUUAUCCGGAUUUAUUGGGUUUAAAGGGUGCGUAGGCGGCUUGUUAAGUCAGGGGUGAAAGGCGGUAGCUUAACUAUCGGAGUGCCCUUGAUACUGACGAGCUUGAAUGCAGCUGAGGUAGGCGGAAUGUGACAAGUAGCGGUGAAAUGCAUAGAUAUGUCACAGAACACCGAUUGCGAAGGCAGCUUACUAAAGUGCGAUUGACGCUGAGGCACGAAAGCGUGGGGAUCAAACAGGAUUAGAUACCCUGGUAGUCCACGCCCUAAACGAUGAAUACUCGAUGUUGGCGAUAUACGGUCAGCGUCUAAGCGAAAGCGUUAAGUAUUCCACCUGGGGAGUACGCCCGCAAGGGUGAAACUCAAAGGAAUUGACGGGGGCCCGCACAAGCGGAGGAGCAUGUGGUUUAAUUCGAUGAUACGCGAGGAACCUUACCCGGGCUUGAAAGUUAGUGAAUGAUACAGAGACGUAUCAGUCCUUCGGGACACGAAACUAGGUGCUGCAUGGCUGUCGUCAGCUCGUGCCGUGAGGUGUUGGGUUAAGUCCCGCAACGAGCGCAACCCCUGUGUUUAGUUGCCAGCACGUAAUGGUGGGGACUCUAAACAGACUGCCUAUGCAAAUAGAGAGGAAGGAGGGGACGACGUCAAGUCAUCAUGGCCCUUACGUCCGGGGCUACACACGUGCUACAAUGGAUGGUACAGAGGGCUGCUACCUGGCAACAGGAUGCCAAUCUCUAAAAGCCAUUCACAGUUCGGAUCGGGGUCUGCAACUCGACCCCGUGAAGUUGGAUUCGCUAGUAAUCGCGUAUCAGCAAUGACGCGGUGAAUACGUUCCCGGGCCUUGUACACACCGCCCGUCAAGCCAUGGAAGCUGGAAGUGCCUGAAGUGCGUAACCGCAAGGAGCGUCCUAGGGUAAAGUCGGUAACUGGGGCUAAGUCGUAACAAGGUAACC
rnacentral:rRNA from 1 species